rnacentral:rRNA from 1 species
ACCUACGGGGGGCAGCAGUGGGGAAUAUUGCACAAUGGGGGAAACCCUGAUGCAGCGACGCCGCGUGAGUGAAGAGGUAAUUCGUUAUGUAAAGCUCUAUCAGCAGGGAAGAAAAUGACGGUACCUGAGUAAGAAGCCCCGGCUAACUACGUGCCAGCAGCCGCGGUAAUACGUAGGGGGCAAGCGUUAUCCGGAUUUACUGGGUGUAAAGGGCGUGUAGGCGGGGACGCAAGU